UAAGCUGAAGUUGUUCAGGUGACUAUAGUGUCCCUUUAAUAACAUUAGUUAAUGUUUGAGGCUCUAGCACUCAAAAUUUCUGCACGGUUAUUCUCCUUGCGCUGCUCAAAUAUAUGCGGUUCAUGCACAUGCACUUGCUUCUUCAGAUUACCCAAAAGAAGUAAGCGGGAGCUAAAAGGUCAGGCAAACAUGGCAGCCAAUUAAUCUGUGAAUUGCUUGAAAUAAUCCCACUCCCUGAACAGUUAAUUAAAUGGUCAAAUCUUACUCUGAAUUUUGGCCCACCCUGAACCUCAAAUGUAAUAAACCUUAUACAGUCAGGUCCAUAAAUAUUGGGACACCGACACAAUUCUUAUCUUUUUGGCUCUAUACACCACCACAAUGGAUUUGAAAUGAAAUGAACAAGAUGUGCUUUAACUGCAGACUUCCAGCUUUAAUUUGAGGGUAUUUACAUCCAAA